ACAGUGGUCCGGUCUGUCGCUGGUCUUUCUCCUGCGGGAGGAGGCGAGAGGAAAGUCCGGGCAACGCAGGACAAUCCGCUACCUAACGGGUAGGAGUCAGUGAUGGCUGGUCUGUGCAGAAGAAAAAUACCGCCUGCAAUGCAGGUAAGGGUGAGAAGGCGGGGUAAGAGCCCACCAGGCGUGUGGUGACAUACGUGCUGUGCACACCGGAUGUUGAAAGUUCGCGUAUACCGGCAAUGCUCCAAUCUUGAAUGGUGGGGUGAGAGGGCUGUCCGUCCGAGCCGGAGGGUAGAACGAUAGAUGCCGGUGGUGACACCGGUACUGGAUAAAUGACAGACACUGGUGUACAGGUUAUGCACCUGUUACUGGUACAGAACCCGGCUUACAGGACCUCUGUUUUU
rnacentral:RNase_P_RNA from 1 species